rnacentral:lncRNA from 1 species
UCCUGCUUGAUCACCAAGAAAUCUUUGUGUGGAGUUCUUACCACAGCAGCCAUUGCAGCAGCAAAUGCUUCUUCAUUCACCACAAACGAAGAAUAAGAAUAUUUAUCAUAACCACCUUCUGCAGAACUCCUCCAUAACUUCCAUUUUCUCUUACUCUUCUCCUGAAAAACCACAAACACAAUAAUAAGGGUCUACUAACAUAAGCACUUCUAAGACUCUUUGGAAGAGCUUAUGAAAAAAGUUUAGACAUUUCAGCUUAUUUCCAUAAACUUAUCUGGAAUAGUUUAUGAAAACUACUUAUGAAAACAAUUUGAUAUUAUUUUAUUUCUUUGAUAGAAAAUGGUUUAUAUAAAAAGCACUUAUUUGAUAAGUACUUGUACUAAAAGCACUUAAUUAUCCAACCAUGGUCUAAAUAAUCAUCACCAGAACCAAACCAAAAAAACACCAAGAAGAGAAGAAGAAAAAAAGAUUGUGGAGGGCUUUCUUACAGGAAAAAGUGAUUUAAACCAGCUUCCAGAACCACCCAUUUGAGAAAAGAACUUAUUUUUGCAGAGAAAAAUGCAAGAUAGUGAGAAUGUUGAUGAUGCAGUGUGUGUUAUGAGUUUGAAGGUGUUCUUGUAGAAGAAGAAAAGAAGUUUUGAAAUUUGAAAUAUCAGUGAAAAAGAAAAAGAACAAAAACAAAGAAGAAAAAACCGUAACGGAUAUGAAAACUUUUCUUUUGCUUUUUUGAUGAAUUAAUGAU